rnacentral:lncRNA from 1 species
CAGAUAUCCACACGCUAAUUUGAUCAAAAGAUCUUGAUCUCAUCAGGAUGCUAGCUUUCUUGCAGAGAUUGCUCCUUGACUUGUCGAAUCUUUGAUCUCUUUUAAUUCUCUCUCAAAAAAAUCAAAAAGAUCCAUAGGAGGAUCAAGAAAUCAGAUCUAAUCUGAUUUUUUUUCUUUCUUCUCAAGAGAAAGAAGAAGAUUUUGAAAGAAAGAAUAAAAGAUCCAAUCUUUUUUCUUUUCUUUUCUAUCCAACUCUUGGACUGAUCAUGGAAGAGAAAACAUGUCUAACUCUUGGACAUCUAUGAAGAUGAAAUACAUGUCUAACUCUUGGACAUCUAUGGAGGAGAAGGG